rnacentral:tRNA from 1 species
GUUUCUGUAGUGUAGCGGUCAUCACGUUUGCCUAACACGCAAAAAGUCCUCGGUUCGAAACCGAGCAGAAACA